CGAUAGCGGCGCCACUCGAUAGUUUUGAAUGGAAUGAUUUAUAACAUAGAUACUAUCGAUGGUAUAUAAAAGUUUUUCAAAGGCUCAAAACUCAAAAUUGACAAUGAAUGCAAUAAAGUUUGAAAAUCAACGGGUGCAGUACAAGCGCUUAUACCAGGAGACGCAGUUAAAUUCAGAGUCAUCAAAGCUACUGGUGCUACCGGCAGCAAACUUGGGCGAAACUUUGAGGCUAAUUCCAGGCGCACACGAAUAUUUCAAUAUUUCUGACGAACUUGAACGCCUUGGUGAUCCAGGGAACAAUGGUGGAGAAGGAGAGGACGGGGACGACCAGGCUGACGAAGAAAACGAAGAAGAAGCAGCUCCAAAUGAAGAAGAUGGCGACGAGAAUAACGACGAAACAGAAGAAGAAGAUGAUGACGAAGAUGACGAGGACGAAAAUGAGGAGGAAAGCUAUGAAGAACUUCGUCGUCACUAUAUCGACGGGCUACGACUCAACCCCUGUCCGGUCAGCUCCAGAUUGGACAUGCUUGCGCAACUACAACCACUCAUUGGUUCACGUUUACCGAUCGUAGUGACUCAGCGUACACAUCCAACAUUUGAAAUUGGACAUUUUGAGAGGUAUUAUGUGAGUGGGCACGAACCUCUCAUCGGGAGUGACCCAGCAUAUCAACUGUGGACUAGAAUGCGACGAGCUGGAUAUUCAACCGAUCAGUGGCCAGAGUCGACUAGCCAGUUUGGGAGGAUGCAGAUGCUGCCAGCAACUCCAAGUCAGUUUGCUCAGUUUGAGGCUGCUAGACCCCGACGUGUAUUAUCAAGCAGACAGUUUAACACGUAUACCCUCUCGGGACGCCUUGUACCUCAAUCCUGGUACCAUGCCUUGCAACACGCUGCACUGUUGCGGACUACACCUAGAGAGCAGUCGGCAAACCAAUAUUCACCCAUCAGAUAGGAUGUAGCCCGACCACACUUGCAUGGUCCCUAUGAGCCGCUGCUGGCCCAUCGCCUGGCCAAUGCCGUGGAAUAUGGCCUAUUCACUGCUGAAGACGACGACGACGGUCAGACUACACUGUUGAUGAACGACGUCCUAGAUCAGAUAGUAAGACUGCGACCCGAUUUAAUGGAACAACCCAACGAUGAUAACAACGAACCGAUUAAUCCCUUGGACGAGCGUGAAGCGAAUAUAAGAGAAGAGCAGAAGAUGCUCUGGGAAGUUUGUAAGAGUCGCCGCAAUGACAAGUAAUUCAAAGAAUAACUGCAGGAGACAUAAGCUAGACGCCAAAGAAAAAACAAAAUUUUAAAAUUUAUACCUAUAUGUUUCGAUAUUUUCAAAGACAACCCCACGUUAAUUUUAUCUGUAUUAUUCAAAUUUCCAAAAUCUGUCAGUAACUUUGUUUGUCGCGAGAAAAAUGGCGAAGAAUAAUAAAAAUAAUAAUAUAAUAAAUAAUAUAAAUAAAUAAAAUAAAAGUCGAGAUCGAUUCCAAAGCUGACGAAGGUACCACAUGUGUGGUUUAUAUUAAAUUGUAUAAUCAUUGUAUUCCCUUUUUAAAUGGUGUCCAAGGAUGCCGAUGAAGUAAAAGUAGACGAGGCACCUGCCGCUGUGGAAAGGGAAAGCUGCUAAGCCUAAGGGGCUGACAAGGACCUAGCUCUUCUCCAUUUGAAAGUGUAAAUGCUCAAUUGGUGGAUAUUUUCAGUGACAGCGAAAGCUUUUGCAGCUGAAAGAAAAACGUCUCGAAGUGAGGAUAUAUUACAAACAUUAUUUAUAUAUAAAUAAACAAAUAUUGCUUGAACUUUUAACGAUAUUUCGAUAUUUAUGAUUUUACCAACGUUUUUUUUAUCGGCAAGGGCCCCCCACCAUGGGAGCAGCUGAUUAAAAUGAGAUUCAAACUAAAAGUCCACAUUUCUAAUCUAACUGACACUUUUACAGCGCUAUUUUACCGUCGAUGGGUUUUCUGUUAAAAAUCCUCGUAAAAUAAUAAGACAGGACAUCACAUUAAUCACUGAAUUCUUGGACCUCUACAUCGCUGUCCACAUCGGGCCCAUCAUCGCUCAGGUCUUCCUCUUCGUUGUCCUGCAUCUCCCCGGGCACUCCCAGCUGGAGACGUUUCCGCUGCAGCAGGGCGAACCAACUGAGUCGAGUCUCGCACAGCGGACACUCGCCACCAAUGGCCAUUGAUUUGUUGCUGCUGUUGUUGUGGAAUCACUGCCUGCGCCUGGCCAGGCUCGCCCCGCUGCACCGAGCCCCCCAAUGGCUGUGCCUCAGCGGCGGAUGCCGUGCCAUUGCCAUUAGCUGUGGCCAUCAUACCCCCCGUGGCUGCCGCCUCGCCAGCUGUGGCGGCUUCGCCACCAUUGCUUUGUUGCAGUUGUUGCUGUUGUUGCUGCUGUUGCGCUGCCGCGGCAUUCUCCAUGAGUUUGAUUCGCUUCCUGGUGUAGUGCUGCCACUGGAGUAUGGCCUGAUCAUCGAUGAACUUGCAGCACUGCGAGUUGACGAUCUCGCGACGAAAGUGUUCGUAUUGCAGGAGAUCCAGGAAGUACAGGCACAUCGGGUACAUGAGGUAUUUGGCAUAGUCCGGCUCCUUCCAGUAUUGCAAGUACUUUAGAUAGUUGAUGAACGAUUGGUCCUUGAAGUAGCCACGUUGGGCCAGGACUACAAUAAGACAACAUACUAUGUGUAGAAAGGCGUUCCUUUGUUGAAUGAUCUUAUCUUUGGUUCGACACUUACAGUUGAGAUAAUUUGGAUUGGAGAGACACUGCACAAACUCUAGUUCUAUUUGCCAUCUUCUUUUCUGCUGCUCUUCGGACUCUACGGUCGCUAUGGAGAGAAGAAUCACAGCCAUUAGACCGGUCAUACACGAGUAGUUUUUGUUAAAACAUUAUACUUUAGAGAGCAUGCCUGCGGAAUCGAAUCGAAUGUUUUAGCUAACUAAAAGCGUGUCAGUAGUUGUUAACAUUUAAGUAUAUUUAUGUUAGAAUUAAUGUGUGUUCUUUUGGCGUGUACUUACUCUUACCCUUUCCGUACAUUUUUGCCAUUUUGAUUGUGGAAAGAGUCGUCUCGUUGUCGGUGUUUUUGCGUUUAUUCAGUUUCAGUCUCAGUUUUGUACUUUCUGUGUGCUACUAUAUGGAUGUGGCUGUGGCUGUAUGUUCUUGUGCUUCAUCGAAAUUGAAACGAAAAUGUACAAUAAACAAUAACACACAAAAUAUAAUACACAAAAAAAUGUAUGAUGGCAAACGAGGAGGGCAAA